CUCUCCUCUCUCUCUCCCCAUGUCUCUUACCCUCUCUCUGCAAUCUCCAUUGCCGCCCCUGGACUCUCUUUGUUCAGCUGCACCUUGCCUCCCGAGCUCGCCGGCGAAGUCGUCGAGAUGCCAGAAGCUCUCAUAGCUCCCCCCAAGUCCUAAUUUCCCUAGUUCCUCCUCAUUUCAGAGAUUGAAUUUCAAUCCAACCUUGACCCAACAUCCAAAAUAGCUAUGUUGGAGGCGAAGGAACGUGCGUUUUGGAGACAAAGGAGUGAACCUAGAAGGUAGAGAAGUAUCAAGGUGAAAUAUGCUUAUGUUCAUAAGCCUAAGAGGUUAGAGUUGAUAGUAUGUCAGUGGUGUUGCGCAGCUUUGCAUCUUUGGCGAGUCACUGGUGGUCAAUCUGGUUUAGUAGUCGUGGCAUGUUGUGAAAUAGUUUAAUCUUUAAUCUUCCGCUGGAUAAAUGUUAACUUUUUAAAUGUAAUAGAUUUUAAUUGUGCUUUUUAAGCUAAAAAGAAAAUAGGAAAAUUUCAGUACGGGUUGUCGAUACUGAAACGUGACAUCAUGUAUUCGGUGGGUUUACCUACCGGGUAAGGGGUAUUACAGGCAUGGAUAUGAAAUUGAUAUUUGCGCUUAUGCCGAGGUGGAUGUUGUUAUGAAAAUGAACUCGUAUGAUUUAUUCGAGUAUGUGUUAACCCGAUGGGUUGGAUGAAAUUA